rnacentral:rRNA from 1 species
AGUGAACGCUGGCGGUAGGCCUAACACAUGCAAGUCGAACGGCAGCACAGUAAGAGCUUGCUCUUACGGGUGGCGAGUGGCGGACGGGUGAUGAAUACAUCGGAAUCUACUUUUUCGUGGGUGAUAACGUAGGGGAACUUACGCUAAUACCGCAUACGACCUACGGGUGAAAUCAGGGGAUCUUCGGACCUUGCGCGAUUGAAUGAGCCGAUGUCGGAUUAGCUAGUUGGGGGGGUAAAGGCCCACCAAGGCGACGAUCCGUAGCUGGUCUGAGAGGAUGAUCAGCCACACUGGAACUGAGACACGGUCCAGACUCCUACGGGAGGCAGCAGUGGGGAAUAUUGGACAAUGGGCGCAAGCCUGAUCCAGCCAUACCGCGUGGGUGAAGAAGGCCUUCGGGUUGUAAAGCCCUUUUGUUUGGAAAGAAAAGCAGCAGGUUAAUACCCCGCUGUUCUGACGGUACCCAAAGAAUAAGCACCGGCUAACUUCGUG